GUACAUACCUGAUUGGCGUCCGGCCUGAUCACGAAGGGAGUCGACGUAUCAACAGUCCUUGCAUUGCACUCUGCUUGGAAUGUUGGUAGGGCCUGGGGGUAAAACCCCAGGUUACCACAAUGAAAUUUUUGGCAGCGGUGGUGCUGUGCUUGCACAAAACCACC